UGAAGAGACGCAGACAUUCAGCUUGUGGUAUAGCAGUGGAUCAGUUUGAGAGCUGCAAUGGCUACAUCCCCAGGGCUUUUCGUCUCUUCAGUUUCCAUUUGUAUAAGAAAGGUGAAAUUCAGAAAGGUUUGUACAAGAACCAGUUUUUAGAUGCUGCCACACAGAAGAAGACAACAGCCAGUUGAUCAUGAAGAGGAGCAGCUAAUCAACAGAGAAACAGCAUCUUCCCCAAGGCUGUCAGCAUUUCUCAGCAGCCCCUGGAUGACCAUUUCCACGGGGACACAGCAUCUGCCUCACUUCCCCUCAGGCCCCAUGGGCUGCUGGUCAACCUCAGGAUCUACUA